rnacentral:rRNA from 1 species
GGGGUCCUGAGUUGUAGACUUCGGUCUGCUACCUCUUACCCAUGUCUUUUGAGUACCUUCGUUUCCUCGGCGGGUCCGCCCGCCGAUUGGACAACAUUCAAACCCUUUGCAGUUGCAAUCAGCGUCUGAAAAAACAUAAUAGUUACAACUUUCAACAACGGAUCUCUUGGUUCUGGCAUCGAUGAAGAACGCAGCGAAAUGCGAUAAGUAGUGUGAAUUGCAGAAUUCAGUGAAUCAUCGAAUCUUUGAACGCACAUUGCGCCCCUUGGUAUUCCAUGGGGCAUGCCUGUUCGAGCGUCAUUUGUACCUUCAAGCUCUGCUUGGUGUUGGGUGUUUUGUCUCGCCUCUGCGUGUAGACUCGCCUUAAAACAAUUGGCAGCCGGCGUAUUGAUUUCGGAGCGCAGUACAUCUCGCGCUUUGCACUCAUAACGGCGACGUCCAAAAGUACAUUUUUACACUCUUGACCUCGGAUCAGGUAGGGAUACCCGCUGAACUUAAGCAUAUCAAUAAGCGGAGGAAU